GACGAACGCUGGCGGCGUGCUUAACACAUGCAAGUCGAACGGAAAGGCCCUGCUUUUGUGGGGUGCUCGAGUGGCGAACGGGUGAGUAACACGUGAGUAACCUGCCCUUGACUUUGGGAUAACUUCAGGAACUGGGGCUAAUACCGGAUAGGAGCUCCUGCUGCAUGGUGGGGGUUGGAAAGUUUCGGCGGUUGGGGAUGGACUCGCGGCUUAUCAGCUUGUUGGUGGGGUAGUGGCUUACCAAGGCUUUGACGGGUAGCCGGCCUGAGAGGGUGACCGGCCACAUUGGGACUGCGAUACGGCCCAGACUCCUACGGGAGGCAGCAGUGGGGAAUAUUGCACAAUGGGCGGAAGCCUGAUGCAGCAACGCCGCGUGCGGGAUGACGGCCUUCGGGUUGUAAACCGCUUUCGCCUGUGACGAAGCGUGAGUGACGGUAAUGGGUAAAGAAGCACCGGCUAACUACGUG
rnacentral:rRNA from 1 species